GGAGGGGUGCAGGAGUGGUUGAACUGGCACGCCUGGAAAGUGUGUAUGGCGGCAACGUCAUCGAGGGUUCGAAUCCCUCUCCCUCCGCCA
rnacentral:tRNA from 1 species